rnacentral:lncRNA from 1 species
CUUCAACGGUCCCCUUGUCCCUGAGAGUAGUGCCACAAGCGAGCUUUACAAUCUGCACAGCCACUCCUGGGGUGCUGGGAGCACUGUGACAAUACAGUCAGGAAUGUAAGGUUUUGAUAUUCCAUGUCCCUGAAAGAUCUUGCUGGUGGCCGCAGCGGGGCUGGCUCCUUAGAUGGGAAUACGGGACCAUUGCCAUCAGUAGGAGCGCCAAUUGGGACUGGAUGGAAGGUGGAGCUAAGGGCAAAGUGAAGGAAGACACAGGAGCCAGUGCCGUCUCCCAGCUCUACGGAAUUCCGAGCUGCUUCCCUCAGUGGCACUGGGAUUCCAUUACAAGGAACCGGUUCUUCAUUCAAUUUUAUAAAAAAGCACAGCCUCAGGAGCCGGAGCCUGGAGUCGCUGUCCCACGACUGCCAACCCUUGGAUGAAGCUUUUGGUCAUCAGCUUCCAUUCUGGGCCUCAGUUUGGUUUGACAGCAGGUGUAAAUGUCAGCGUGAAACAGAAGAGGGGAAGACUGAAGCAGAGUAGCUCACGGGGAAAAUCUCUGAGAGCCGGAAGCUCUGAAGCAGGGACCCAGAGGGUGAGAAUCAGCACUUCUCAGCUCCGGGCCUCACUGGGCUGGGGUGCGAAUGGGCAGUGAGUCUGCCAGGCUACGCACACAGGACUGAAGAAUGGCUCAGAGGAAAACAGGCCAUCCGGGAAAGGAAGGGAGCCCCCAGUGGCCCGCGAGGCGGGUGGCUAUGUGCUCUGAGCAGCAGCUGCAGCCUGGGAGCCCUGGAGCUCCAAGCUGUUUAUGCUGCUCCUGGAAAACAGGUGAAAGGAGAAGGCCGGUGGCUGGCUCCACGCUAACCUAUAAAAGCAUCAAGGAAUGAUAGGAAUGUAAUCUGGUCUCCACGGAGUGCUUACUCGGAGGAAUUUGGAAACUGAUUUUUCCUUUGAGGAAGAGACUUUUUCAGGGACCUUGUAGUAAGGACACCUGGGCCAUCUCAUCUUCACCUUUUUGGUGCAUAAGAAGCAUAGGAACAGUGGCAGCUUGCUAGUUUGUAAAGAGGCCUGACUUACAUGCAUCUGGGCUUCCCUACCUUGAUAGAGACAGCAAGGAAUCCUCUUCUCCUUCCUGGAUCUCCCGCCUUCAGCCCAGACCACUCAUUUAAGGCUCGUCUGCACAAUGGCUGGUCCCACUUCCCAGUUUCUGGACACAAUUUCAUCCAGUAGCUGGGUCCCUGCAAUCUCAGGAAUUCUGGAUGUGUUUCCCUGGGGUCAAGGGCUUGAGUGGGAGGACAACUUCUGCCAAGUGAAUCCCAAUCCUUCAGGACCCACUUGUUUCUACAUCAGUCAGCUUCCAAGAAAUGAAACCUUCUUAGAGUAAUUGGUGCACUUUGGGUACCUUGCUUUCAUUCGAUUUAUAAAACCAACCAACCUCAAGCUAACACACCACAAAUCAGAGGAGACUUAUUGUCACCCAUCACUACACAAGCUUUGGAAGUGAGGCUCCCCUAUCCUUUGUUCCAACAAUGGAUUUAAGGAUAGAGGUAUCUCAAAUAGCAAAUUUUUUUGCCAAAUAUCUUUUCCUAUAGGAAUUCUAUUUAUAUCAUCCACGACACUGUGAGUCCUGCUACUUUUUCGAUGGCAGAGAUUUAAACAGCAAUUGCUUGUGGUGGAGAGAUGGGGGCUUUGGGGAUACAGAUGGCGGUGCUCAUCUCAGACACCAAGAUGGUGGGAAUGGGCCACAUUAUCUCCUGUAGAAGAGAUGCCAUUGACUUGAGAUUCCUGCAAGAAACAUUCAUCAAUUUCUCCCACCAGCUCUGAGGAUACAGCAGAGAACAAGCCAAAAUCUCAGUUUUGUGGAGCUCACAGGCUGUAAGGGAGACAGACAAUAAACAAGUAAACAAUUAGAUGCUUUUUAAAUUGUAAAAGUGCUAUAAAGAAGAUGUACAGUGUGACGAGAUGGGAGGGAGAGAACUUCUGGGGAGAUGGAAACAGAGCAUCCACCUGAGCAGAGGACAGGAAGGGUAGGACUGAGCGAGCCAUGCAAAGAUCUGGGGGACAAGGAGGGCACCACAGUUCUGUUUUUUUCCAUUGGACUUAAGACAUCACUAUUGUACCUCUGAGAAAGAAAAAAAACAACGCAAUUAUCGUUGUGACUCGCCAUUGAUUGUAAAACACAUUUUGAUUGCAGAGAUAUUAAAAUGUGUUAAAAUAUAUGCCUUAGCAUCAGUGUAAUACAUCAGUUCAAAAGCUUAAAUGUGAGAAAAGGCUUGGCUUGUUUGAGCAAAUGAAAAGAAUCUGAUAUGUUUGUCACAAGUAAAUUGAAGGAGAAAUAGGUAUGAGGUUUCAGGAAGUAAAAGGAUAAAUCUUGGGUUUUUGGUUUAAGCAUAAAGGGUUGAUGAUAAUGCCCUCUGCUGAGAUAGGAGAGACUCUAGCGUUGCCAAGAUGUGAAUUUGAGACCUGUUAUAUAUUUUAAGGGGCAAUUAAGAGACGGAGCAUUAAGAAGAGAUUUAAUACAUAUUUAAAACUCAAGGCUUAUGAAAAGACUUUUGUUCUGUGUAUAUCAGGAAACCAGGGAGCACUGAAAUGGAUAGCUGAGGAAACUGAAUAAGGGUAACAUUGCUAUUUUAUACAUAUUUUUAUGCUGUAUGCACACACACCAUGUCACCAUAAUCCGUAAACUGUUAAAGUGCCAGAAAAGGCUUGAACAUCAUUUUCAUUCCGACAGGAAGUAGAUGGAAUUGCCAUGCCAUCUAGAAAGCCGAGUUCCUUCAUGAUUUACAGCCUAAUUUCACAGGCAAACUAUUUAGUGAUAAAUUUUUCAUUGAGGCCAUUGGCCGGCACAAUAAUCGUGUCUAUAUGGCAUGUUUCUACCAAACGCUACUGUGUCUAUUAUGUUGUUUUAAUGCUAUGACCUUCCCAAGAGGCAGUUCGGGACAGAAACUUUUACUCACAGUUAUAAGAUCAGAAAACUGAUGUCUGGCUCCUAGUGACGUGUGCAGGUGCUGGCAGACUGAAAAUUGAACCAGAUCUUUGCAACGGCAGCCCUCUCUCUGCCCCAGAUGUGAAAGCCCUUGGUUCUUUGAUUUCCUAUUGUCGUUACCCCACCUCCAGGGUCUGCUUGUGUUUAUAUGGUGAAAUGAAGGCUAAGUCCAUCCUCAUGCUGUACUUUCUUAAACAGAUUUUUCUAAUCUCUUGUGCUCCCACAACCAUAAAUGACUAUAUACAAGCACACCCAAGGUCGCUGGUGCCCCAAGGUGAUGAAAGCUGUUACUAUGUUUGGGAAAUAGACAAGCUUUGGUCUUUGAACGUUGUUUGAACAAAAGUUAACUGAUCCUGCUUCCCGCCUCCAAGUACUCAGGCCCAGAAUACAUUGUUUUCACCCCAAGGAAGUGUUUCAGUGUUUAUUUUCUGAGAAAGACUAAGAGAAAGUGAUUUAUCAUGAGUUAAUAAACAGGAAGGCAACAGUUUUAAACCCUGGAUAAUGAUCAUACUUCCUUCGAGGUUUUUAAAUAAUAUAGGUUGCCGUGUCUUGGCUAUAUUGAAAUCUCCAUAUUUAUUAAAUUAGCCUCUCCAAGGGUUGGCAGAAGGGGAGAAAUUUUAUUCUUUCUACACUCCAUAGUAAUUCUGAUGAUUAUGCAUUUGGGGAAAUACAGCUUUGAAUAGCCCUUCAAAAAUGAUUGUAGCACUUCUCUGGCUUGAGUCCCUGCACCUUCCUCCAUCUCUCAGCCCCUCAGAGAUCAAAUGAUCCCAGGGUUCUCAUAAAUUAUAACCUCUUCUGUUUACUGUUUCCUUCUCAAGCAUUUAACUUGUUCAAGCAUCUUCCAUCUUUAAAAACAACCCCCAAAAUCUUUCCUCAACCCCAUACCUCCCUCCAGCCAAGCUCUUGAUUUAACCAUAGAUUUGGUCUUUGACCCACUGUCUCCACUUACCUGCUCCCUAUGUUCCUCUCACUGCCCCCUUGAGCUCUCCAAAGUCAC